UACACAAGCACUUGCCACAUACUGAAAUACACAAGGACUUACUAUAUACUUAAUUACAAAAACACUUACCACAUUCUAAAAUACGCGAGCACUUACCACAUACUAAAAUAUACAAGCACUUACCCCAUACUGAAAUACUCAAACACUUACCGUGUACUGAAAUUUACAAUCACUUACCACAUUCUAAAAUACACAAGCACUUACCCCAAACUGAAAUAAACAAGCACCACAUAGGUACUAAAAUUUACAUGCACUUUCCCCCCCCCCCUCAAAUACACAAACACUGACCACAUACUAAAAUUUACAAGCACUUACCACAUACUAAAAUGCACAAACACUUACCGCAUAUUAGAAUAAACAAGUAUCACACACUGAAAUACACAAGCACUUACCACAUACAAAGAUAUACUUUUAAAAAUUAAAGCACCACAUACUGAAAUACACAAGCACUUACCACAUACAAAAGAUAUACUUUGAAAAAUAAAAAAUGAAAAGAAAUAAAUGUCUGUAAAUAUUGAAACAUAGGCAGGGUGAGGUAUGGGAGAAUUAGAGACAUUAAGCGCUGACGUCAUCACGGAACACAAGGCUCAUAGGCUGUGUCUACUGCGCAUCCAACUUUGAGUCUCUGUAUCUUCAGAAAUACUCGUCGGAUUUCAAUUUUUUAAAAAACUAUAUUUUUUUAAUUUUGGAAUCUUUAAAAUAAAGAAAUAAAAAAAAAUCAUGAGAAUUGUCAAUU
rnacentral:lncRNA from 1 species